UUGUGGCCCUAUCGAAGUCGAUUUAGUCCACACGUGGCUAAAUCGGUCAACAUGGAGCCUAAAGUGAAAUCUUUUACCGACGGUCGCUGUUCAGCUUUCUUGUAGCUGAUUAGCAACAUUUGUGGGAAAGGACAAUA